GUAUUGCAUAAGUUAUAAUAGAAAUGUAAUAUAACCACAUGUGGUUUGGUGGAGCUUUAUUAUAGGUGAAGCAUUUUGUGAUCCACUGCCAGGUGUGGGAUCUAUACCACUAGGCACAGGAUAUGCAAUCCUGAGCGGCGCCAUGCAGAUAAAAGGUGAUUUGCUUUUAUAUUCUCAUUAUCCUGAUCUGAUUGGUAAUAAAUCAAACUAAUUUCCCCAAGUGUGGACUGGUUUUCCUCUGAUAGUAAGAGGUGACUGAUCUCUUCCUCCCCUUAUCUUGAGCCACAGGCCUUUUGUUUUACUUUUGCUCCCUUGUCCAGCUGAGGAGGGGAGUGAGAGCAUGGCUUUGGUGGGGGUCUAGUGUCUAGUCAGGGUCAAUUCACACCAGUGCAUUUAGACUGCAUUUUUUAAUCUGGUUGGUGAUUCUGGAGGAGGGUGUGUAUUACACUUAAUUUAAAAAUAAGGAUUGGAACUAUUAGCUAUUGCACUCUUUACACUGAUAACUCCUCACAUAUUUAUUCAGGCUUGAUCUGCUGUCACUCAGGUAAUGCACUUGGCUCUAAAUUCAGAGACUCAGUCAACUGAGCUAGAACUCUAGUAAAUGAACCUUUAACAGUGAGGCUCAGGAAGCAGUAAUUUUGAAAAAGUAUAUAUACAUUUAAAUAUGGUGCACAAAUUUUCUUGCUAUACCCUGUGUAUAAUGAAUUAGUGCGAAGUCUAAAAAUAUUUUAUUUUUUUUUAGUAGACCUUCAAGCCUGCAACUUCUCUCCAUCUAUUAGACUUACUCUCUGGAGCAAGGUUCUAUCAGCUUCCCAAAGUCCUGUUACAAUACACAGAGUCUUUGAAGAUACUUUUUAUGCUCCCAGGGGUGGUGUUGAUCACUCUUUCCAAACGCAUCCUCGACAUUCGCACAUAAACCUGUUAGAAUAGCAAACAACUGGUGUGUCUGAACUAUGCAGGAACGCAGCUUGAAAGCUACAAGACCAGGAAAAUAAAAGUCAAAGAUGAAGGAAUGAUAGGAGUCUUGGUAUGCCUUGCUAUAGAAGGGAAAGAGAAAAAAAAAAAUGAUUUUUUGAGGCUGUGCUUUUAUUUACAUUUUAGUGAGACAGUAUUAGAAGUAUGAUUCUUGUUGUCAUUAACCUGAUUUAAUAUAAAUUCUACUCUUUGGAGCCUAUUCUUGUUAAAGCAGAGAAUUCUUUCAGUGACUUAAGAUAUAUACUGUUGAUUGCAUUCAGUAUUGAUUUUUAAGGAUUAACACCAGUAGUAUAAAAUCAGUUAGCAUUUAGAACUCAAAAUUUAAAUCUUGGUUACUCACCUUUCUCAAAACAUAUGUAUGCACAUAAUCCUUAAAAAUAUUUAUCUUU